CCUACGGGUGGCAGCAGUGGGGAAUAUUGCACAAUGGGCGCAAGCCUGAUGCAGCCAUGCCGCGUGUGUGAAGAAGGCCUUCGGGUUGUAAAGCACUUUCAGCGGGGAGGAAGGCGGUGAGGUUAAUAACCUCAUCGAUUGACGUUACCCGCAGAAGAAGCGCCGGCUAACUCCGUGCCAGCAGCCGCGGUAAUACGGAGGGUGCAAGCGUUAAUCGGAAUUACUGGGCGUAAAGCGCACGCAGGCGGUCUGUCAAGUCGGAUGUGAAAUCCCCGGGCUCAACCUGGGAACUGCAUUCGAAACUGGCAGGCUAGAGUCUUGUAGAGGGGGGUAGAAUUCCAGGUGUAGCGGUGAAAUGCGUAGAGAUCUGGAGGAAUACCGGUGGCGAAGGCGGCCCCCUGGACAAAGACUGACGCUCAGGUGCGAAAGCGUGGGGAGCAAACAGGAUUAGAUACCCCAGUAGUC
rnacentral:rRNA from 1 species